ensembl:misc_RNA Y_RNA Y RNA
GGAGUCUUAGAGCUGAGAUCUUUAUAGUUGCAUGGAUCUGAGUUAUCUCACGUGAUUGUUCACAGUCAGUUACAGAUUGAACUCCUUGUUCUACUACUUUCCCCCCUCCUCACUACUGCACUUGACUAGUCUUAA